UUCCCCUAGUNACUGCGAGUGAAGCGGGAAAAGCUCAAAUUUAAAAUCUGGCGGUCUCUGGCCGUCCGAGUUGUAAUCUAGAGAAGUGUUAUCCGCGCUGGACCGUGUACAAGUCUCCUGGAAUGGAGCGUCAUAGAGGGUGAGAAUCCCGUCUUUGACACGGACUACCAGUGCUUUGUGAUGCGCUCUCAAAGAGUCGAGUUGUUUGGGAAUGCAGCUCAAAAUGGGUGGUAAAUUCCAUCUAAAGCUAAAUAUUGGCGAGAGACCGAUAGCGAACAAGUACCGUGAGGGAAAGAUGAAAAGAACUUUGGAAAGAGAGUUAAACAGUACGUGAAAUUGCUGAAAGGGAAACGCUUGAAGUCAGUCGCGUUGGCCGGGGAUCAACCUUGCUUUUGCUGGGUGUACUUUCCGGUUGACGGGUCAGCAUCAAUUUUGACCGUUGGAUAAAGUGCAAGGGAAUGUGGCAUCUUCGGAUGUGUUAUAGCCCUUGCUCGCAUACAACGGUUGGGAUUGAGGAACUCAGUACGCNGCAAGGCCGGG
rnacentral:rRNA from 1 species